CAUUUUUAGGAUUUAUUUAAUUAUUUUAAAUCAACAUUAUCCUGAAUAGUGUUUGCUGACGUCAUCAUAACGUCAACAUGACGAACGAGACCUUAGCCUGCUAACUAGCUAUGCGGAGCCAUCCCUUUGCAGCUAGUUUCUUAGAGGGACUAUCACCGUUUAGGCGACGGAAGUUUGAGGCAAUAACAGGUCUGUGAGGCCCUUAGAU
rfam:Triticum aestivum genome assembly, contig: Triticum_aestivum_CS42_TGACv1_scaffold_344346_4DL